rnacentral:rRNA from 1 species
CCUAAUACAUGCAAGUCGAGCGCGGGAAGCAAGCUGAUCCUCUUCGGAGGUGACGCUUGUGGAACGAGCGGCGGACGGGUGAGUAACACGUGGGCAACCUGCCUGUAAGACUGGGAUAACCCCGGGAAACCGGGGCUAAUACCGGAUAAUACUUUUCAUCACCUGAUGGGAAGUUGAAAGGUGGCUUUUAGCUACCACUUACAGAUGGGCCCGCGGCGCAUUAGCUAGUUGGUGAGGUAACGGCUCACCAAGGCAACGAUGCGUAGCCGACCUGAGAGGGUGAUCGGCCACACUGGGACUGAGACACGGCCCAGACUCCUACGGGAGGCAGCAGUAGGGAAUCUUCCGCAAUGGACGAAAGUCUGACGGAGCAACGCCGCGUGAGUGAUGAAGGUUUUCGGAUCGUAAAGCUCUGUUGUUAGGGAAGAACAAGUGCCGUUCGAAUAGGGCGGCACCUUGACGGUACCUAACCAGAAAGCCCCGGCUAACUACGUGCCAGCAGCCGCGGUAAUACGUAGGGGGCAAGCGUUGUCCGGAAUUAUUGGGCGUAAAGCGCGCGCAGGCGGUCCUUUAAGUCUGAUGUGAAAGCCCACGGCUCAACCGUGGAGGGUCAUUGGAAACUGGAGGACUUGAGUACAGAAGAGGAGAGUGGAAUUCCACGUGUAGCGGUGAAAUGCGUAGAGAUGUGGAGGAACACCAGUGGCGAAGGCGACUCUCUGGUCUGUAACUGACGCUGAGGCGCGAAAGCGUGGGGAGCGAACAGGAUUAGAUACCCUGGUAGUCCACGCCGUAAACGAUGAGUGCUAGGUGUUAGGGGGUUUCCGCCCCUUAGUGCUGAAGU